rnacentral:rRNA from 1 species
UACGUAGGGUGCAAGCGUUGUCCGGAAUUAUUGGGCGUAAAGGGCUCGUAGGCGGUUUGUCGCGUCGGGAGUGAAAACUCAGGGCUUAACCCUGAGCCUGCUUCCGAUACGGGCAGACUAGAGGUAUGCAGGGGAGAAUGGAAUUCCUGGUGUAGCGGUGAAAUGCGCAGAUAUCAGGAGGAACACCGGUGGCGAAGGCGGUUCUCUGGGCAUUACCUGACGCUGAGGAGCGAAAGUGUGGGAGCGAACAGG